CUAGCCGAUGCUACUUUUUUUGUUCUCGCUGUUUUCAAGUUGGCGUGCGAUCAACUGUUCGAACUUGCGGCGGGCCAAUUUGAAUUAUGUCACCUCCAAAGGGAAAAAAGCCGAGUACGUUAAGAGCAAGCUUGCGGGAAAGAACGAGAGAGAAGUUCAAAAACUUGCGAGACGAGAACAGAAGUACAGUUAACAAAUCGUACUACGCACUGAGAGAAGUUCGAAGAAGCGCACGCCAAACAUUAGCACACGUCAAAUCGGCCCUUGAGAAUGUUUCUAAUAGAUGUCUUCGAGAGCGUGGACAACACGGUUACCGUGUCGCAGCACGCAGUCCUAUGAGUUCGCCCACACCCGUUAAACUCUACACUCCAUUUGGAAUCGAGACCCCAAGCCCACCUCAAAAAUGGAGGACCCCAAGGAAGAGGUGCGCUAACGAAACACCGACCAAAGGACUCAAAGAAGACCUGCAGGAAAUUGCAACAGGCAUGAGGGAGCUGUCAGCUAUUGCAGAGCGCAUCAAGGAAAAACAGGACAUGGUGUCUGAAUGACUUAUGGAAGCUCACUUGCAUAGGGUUCAUUUUGUACUCCUACCAUACCAUACCUUACCAUAUCUCGAGAUCUGAUCCUCUUUGAUGGUGUGCGGAUUGUGCACCAGUACUGGUUGAUCUGUGUGUGCUGCUCCUCGCAUUUUAACGGGUUGCAAACCUAAAGAAGAGGCUUUAUUUUUGAGCAAAUAUGUGAUCAUGCUAGCAGCUACUGUUUGUCUAUCAGAAUGUCCACGUACCUACUCUGUUUGCAUAUAAAAUAUGCAGUAUAGUUCCUCGUUGCUUGUACCAUCCCUUUUUACCGUGUGUGGCGUAAAUUCUGAAGGCCCGACGCCGCUUUUGUGGGACCAAAAAUAUGACUAAAAGAGAGCACUAACCUUGCUGGGAAUGACGUGUCCAUAAUAUUUUCAGAAUCCGCAGCAACAGCACGUUUUGCCCCUCCUCUUGAACUCCCAAACCGUUCUCAGGUGGGAACACGAAGGUUGUGAGGGAUACUGAGGUGCUGUGGGACUGUUACAUUAACAAAUCAGCGGGAAGCAAAAACUGUUUUCUUUGAAUUGUGCCGCUGCAAGAUCGGGCAUAUUUAAUCCUCCGGAGUUAAUGUAACGCACAACCUAGUAGAUUAUAGCGACCACGUCAUACGGACCCUUUCCCAGCACCGCCUUUGGCGGCUAGCGGUGGCGCCACUCAUCGGCCAGGUUAUUGCUUCCUCAAUUUUUACGGUACUCUGUACUUUAGUUUACCUUAGUGUUUUUGUACAAGGGGGGGGGUGUCCUACGAUAGAUACUUCCUUCUAAAGUUGAUUUAUCAUCAUCAUUCUACGUGUUUUCAUCGUAACUGUCACUGUCGUCUGCUACGGUAAUCGUGCGUCCACUUCUGCACAUUCAAAAUUCAAAUUUGCAUUGUCCAAUUGUGAUGCAGAUCUCGCGUGCCGAUGAGUAGUGCACCUAGCUGAUUGUGCGGACGGGCUCCUGAUUGGGUUUGCCGAUUAUGACAUGAUCGCUAUAAUCUAGUACGUCGUGAUGUAACGUGAGUGACCAUUGACCGUGUGACGUUUUGUCUGUGACGUCCGGACAUUAUCCGAGCAUAGUUUCGCCGAAGUACUGUGGAGAUGACAUUUGAGAGUUUUAGAAUACGUCUUCCGCACCCAAUCCGCAGACAAGACUCUGAGUCACGUACGCUGUCAUUGGUUCCGUUAAGUACGGUGUCUUUACAGUGACACAACCAAUAGUAUACUGAAACUCUCCACUGUAUCCACUUGCAAGAACAUCCUUAGUUAUGAUAUCCAUGUAUUUCCUUUGUGUUGCAGCUGCUGCUUCGACUCGGAAGAAUCGCUUUUCCUAAGGAAAUGAUGCAUGCACAGUUUUUGCGGCUUAGUGGUGCGAGAAAAGCCUUUUGCUCGGGAAAUUUUGGGCUGUCUACCAGUGGCAUAUAGCCAGAGGAGGAGGGGGUUUCUCUUGGGCUACCAUUUUAUUUUGAUAUCUUGAGUAAAUCAUGCCAGCACGCUACUUCAUGCAUUGUACCCCAGGUGCUCUGACGUGGCUGACGUGGCCGACGUGGCCAUUGAUAUGUAGCAGUGAUCUCCAUUGACAUUUAUAUCAUCACUUGACAUCAAAAUAGGCAGCGCAAAAAAAAAAGAAAGUUACCGUUUUGGUGUAACUGUGCCAGGCAUGUACUGGGAGACCGGCGGAACAUGUGCUUCGUGCUCUUCCGUAACGAUUUAUAACAGUAGAGGUACCUUGGGUACUGGAUGGGGCUCCUUCUGGUAUUUAUUCUUAGCAGUCUCCACAAAUCGUGUUUACCGUUUCAUGUGGUGCGCACCAAGGCAAACCAUUACUGACUUCAUAAGCCAUUCUUAGCAUUGCUCUGCUCUGCUGUCUUUUGUCAAAGAUACCAAAGCCCAAUUACCAUAGUCCAUAUCUAUAUAUAUUUGGCAGCGCAUUGUAUGUGGCACUCAUUGUGUAUUGUUUACAUGUAUUACCAACCUUGUAUUUUAUAUAAAAACUAUUGUACUCUG